AGCGAACGCUGGCGGCAGGCUUAACACAUGCAAGUCGAGCGGGCAUCUUCGGAUGUCAGCGGCAGACGGGUGAGUAACACGUGGGAACGUACCCUUCGGUUCGGAACAACUCUGGGAAACUGGAGCUAAUACCGGAUACGCCCUUAUGGGGAAAGGUUUACUGCCGAAGGAUCGGCCCGCGUCUGAUUAGCUAGUUGGUGGGGUAACGGCCUACCAAGGCGACGAUCAGUAGCUGGUCUGAGAGGAUGAUCAGCCACACUGGGACUGAGACACGGCCCAGACUCCUACGGGAGGCAGCAGUGGGGAAUAUUGGACAAUGGGCGCAAGCCUGAUCCAGCCAUGCCGCGUGAGUGAUGAAGGCCUUAGGGUUGCAAAGCUCUUUUGUCCGGGACGAUAAUGACGGUACCGGAAGAAUAAGCCCCGGCUAACUUCGUG
rnacentral:rRNA from 1 species